AGUGACCGAAAGAUUUCUGUGAAGGUUUGCAUGUCUUGAUUCAUUCCAUUAAGUUCUCUGUUAAAUUGACUUUAUUUUUCUUGCUUGAAUUUUCAGACGUGUUCUUUGCUUCUUUAUUGCUAUCAUCAUCAUUAUUUUCGUGGUCUCUAAAUUUCUUGGUUAUAGAUAUGCUUCUUUUACAUGGAUAAGUAGCAGAAUGUGACUACAUUUUAUUACUGUUCAUGAGCCAUUUGUGGUUUAGGUGUACAUGAGCUUCUUCUGAUUGGGUAAACAUUUGGGAAUUUAUUAGUUCAAUCCUUUAUUGAUCUUGAGCAGUGUGAGGCUGUGAGCUUUUGCUAAUGCUACCUGAAUGCAUUUGUGGUGGAUAUGUAUUCAUUGUGUUCAGUUAUUGAACAAUUUACAGAAAACAAAAUUGUGGGUUGCAUUUUAGAUUUUGAAUGCUUAAGUUUGUGUACCUAAGGAGUCUGCUGUGAGGCCUGUAUGUUGUCCAUCAGAAUGUUGUCAGAAUCUAAUAAUUCUAAAAGUAAAUUUUGACUGCUAACAUUUUACAGAACUUUGGUAUGAUGCCCUGCCAUUUAAAUUUGGUGUUUAUUCUUUGUUUUCUUAUUCUAAGUUAUACAUGUCAUUUCUGACAUCAUGGGAUCCAAGGGAUUGCAUUAUCAUUUUUAAACAAAAUUUGCUUAUAUGGGUGCACUAGCAAGUCCAAGGCUUAGUAGAGUUGAGUUGAGUUUUUGCUUAUAUGGGUGCAGUAGCAAGUCCAAGAAGUUUGAGUCAUUAGAUACUUUGUGGAUUUUGAAGCUUUAUGUGCUCUUCAGUUCAGCUGAAUCUGUUUCUCCUAAAAUGGUUUACUGAUUUUGGGAGUCGAUAUAAAUUUUGUUGUUGAGCUUUAUGAGAUAUUGAGGACUAUGUUGUAGCAAUAUUUCUUGAGUUCAGGAAUAAUCCCUCCAUAUAAAUUUUAGUUUGUUGGUUUCAAAGCACAGGUUGGCUCAAGGACAUGUGUGAAUACCUAUCAGUAGUAGGUUUUGCUGCUAUAUUGAUGUAUGCCAAACAUAUAGUUUGAAUGGUGGGCUACAAUUGGUUUUUCUUUCUCAAUUGUAUGAAGUAAUUCUGUUUUAAAUUUAAUUAUCUGUGUACAAUAAGCCGAUGCUCUGGAUUGAAUACACUAUGAAGGUAGCAUGGUAAGGUGCACAGAAAUUGAAUUUUAUGGGUCGACAUGUCUGCUCCCUCUGAUGCCUCUAUUGGAGGCUUUGAUUUGGGGGCCUGGUUCUGACCCACAUUUUUUUUUUAAUUCUGCUUGUUCAAAAGAAAAAGAAAGGCAUUUUAAGUUGAUGGAUUCAUUUAUUAUUUUCCGGGACGUCAUGCCUGGUGUUGUCACUUUCUACGAGUUUAGUGACUGCAUCAAAGUCUGCAGUGGAGUUGGAGUAGUGUAAUUGUUUAAUUUGUUAAAGCUAGGCAUCUUGUUUAAGGUAGUAAAGCUUGCCAGGUUGCUGAUGGAUGUUGAUUAUCAAUGGUGGUUCUGUUUAUUAGCUUUUUAUAGCAUUUUUUUCACCAGCCACAAGUAUUUCAAUUAAAGCUAUAAAUGUUGAUUAGCAGUUUUUAUUGUAUUUUUAUCCUUGUUUACUGUUGGUAUCAGUGUCUGCCAGAAUGAAAAUUCUUUGGAUUUAUCUUUGAAUGAAAGUUUGUAUUGGUGGCAGACAAACUGGAGAAGGCCCAAGG
rnacentral:misc_RNA from 1 species